rnacentral:rRNA from 1 species
UACAGAGGUCUCAAGCGUUGUUCGGAUUCAUUGGGCGUAAAGGGUGCGUAGGUGGCGCCGUAAGUCAGGUGUGAAAUCUCGGGGCUCAACCCCGAAACUGCAUUUGAUACUGCGGUGCUCGAGUACUGGAGAGGAGAUUGGAAUUUACGGUGUAGCAGUGAAAUGCGUAGAUAUCGUAAGGAACACCAGUGGCGAAGGCGGCUCACUGGCCCGAUACUGACACUGAGGAGCGAAAGCGUGGGGAGCGAACAGG